UGUCUGGCAAUACCAACCAGUUUUUUUUUGUUGAUUCUCAGGCUUUAUCACUCAUCUCUACUAACUCUCCUUUAAAUUAAAAAACAUUAUAAGUGUGUGUGUGUAGGUGUUGUUGUUAUUAUUUAUACACUCCUACUAUUAAAAUAAUACUUUUUUUAUACAACCUGCCUAACAUUGACCAUAAAAAUGUAACUCUUGUGUUUGUCGAUAAAAAAGAAAAAUAAAACAUGUGCUUUAAGUUUUGUUGGACGAAGAAUUUAUUAAAAAUUAUUAAUUUUAACAAAUAUAGUGAUUAAUAAUAGAAUAUUGAAUUAAUAAAUUGUGCAAAAUGUAAGAAAUUAAGAGUGCUUAUGAAAAGUGAAAGAAUUUUUAAAGAGAAAUAUGGGAAGUGUAAAUUUCAUGAAAAUUAUUCACCAAAAGUUCUAAGGGAAGAACUCAUCAUGGUCCAGAGGAAUAUGAUCAGCAGAUAUGCUAGCGGAGUGGCAAUGUACAAGGAUGACUACACAGGGAGCAACAUCAGCAGGCAGCAGUUAACAGCAGCCUUUCGCAGAAAAUAAAAAAAAUAGAACUUAAAAAAACGGAAACGGCUCAACAUGAUUUGCCAAUAUUUGGAAUACAGUAACAACAACAAGAACACUUUUUUCUAUUACUAUGUGCAACUUUUUGUGAUUUUUACUAAAAACCAUUCAUUAGAACUACAUAGUUUGACACUUAAACCACAAGAGUUAAGCAAAUUUCGAAAUGAAGAGCGUAAACGAUAAAGGACAAAGAAAGGAUAUUAACAAAGCGGCUGGAAAUGCUAAAAUUAUUAUGAUUAUUAGAAAAAAGGGUUGUUAUUGCAGCAACAACACACUGAGGACGUGAGAACAUUACAAAUUCAAAAAAUACUGGGACCAGAAUGUACAGGAUCCUUGAAUGCGGACUUCUAGAUUUAUUUGCUGAAAUCGUAUUUAUUUAAUUUGUUAUGAGCCCUUUAUAUUAAGUAAUUAUUUCAAUAAAACACUUACAUAUUUUAUUU